GACGAACGCUGGCGGCGUGCUUAACACAUGCAAGUCGAACGAUGAAGCUAGAGCUUGCUCUGGUGGAUUAGUGGCGAACGGGUGAGUAACACGUGAGUAACCUGCCCCGAACUCUGGGAUAACUGCUGGAAACGGUAGCUAAUACUGGAUACGACCAACGAAGGCAUCUUCUGUUGGUGGAAAGAAUUUCGGUUCGGGAUGGACUCGCGGCCUAUCAGCUUGUUGGUUAGGUAACGGCUCACCAAGGCGACGACGGGUAGCCGGCCUGAGAGGGUGAUAGGCCACACUGGGACUGAGACACGGCGCAGACUCCUACGGGAGGCGGCAGUGUGGAAUAUUGCACAAUGGGCGCAAGCCGUAUGCAGCAACGCCGCGUGAGGGACGACGGCCUUCGGGUUGUAAACCUCUUUUAGUAGGGAGGAAGCGAAAGUGACGGUACCUGCAGAAAAAGCACCGGCUAACUACGUGCCAGCCGCCGCCGUAA
rnacentral:rRNA from 1 species